GCCGGCCCCACUACAGCUGAGGGGGCGGGGCUCUCUAGAGGAGCCAAUCAGGGAGGCGCGGGCGGUGUGACGCGACGCACCUCGGGGCCAGUGUAACCUGUCUGCAGUGGGCGGGGCCAGGGCAGCACCGCCUCCUGCACUUAAGCCCUGAGACCUGCGCUCAGACUCUGGGCACCUACGCCCCAACUGACUUGGCUAGCCAGCGAUCCUGCUAGUCCUGUCCUGUGUCUCGCGCCACUUAUGACCCAAGCCUGCUCUUUCUUUCUGUGGGACGCGCUCAUUGGAUAUAAGCUCACCUCACCUUUUGACCCUUCUCUUAUUAGUCAGGGGCAUAAAGCAAUAAAAGAGAAUUCGAAAUUGUGACUUCCCAGCUCUGAUGCGCAAACCUUACACCUGACAUAAGAGGAAUCAGCAGGAGCAGCCUACCUGCCCGUCGACGAUUCAUCCGUGGGAGAGAUUCUGGGGGUUUCCAUAACACCGCGUUCGUGUGUACAGGGUGGCACUCAUUGCCAUUGUUUAAUAAUAAACUGUUGGUGCGUUCGUCUCUGGCACCAGGCUGUGAGCGCCUUGAGUGCAAGAAGUGUCCUAUCCGGCCUGCCAGGUGUCCUUAUAGGCAGCGUGGGGAGUGACAUGCGGGAGGUGCUCAAAUAUUAGCAACAAAAAGUGUAUUGGGGGGAAAAGUGUAUUGAAUACAGUUGCUUAAACAGGUCCAGGAAAUAGCACCUCCUUCCUUAAAUGAAAAUAGUGCACUGAAACACACUGCAGUUAAAAGUGUUUUAACCUCUGUCCACUGAAAAGGCCUGAAACAACGAUCAACACAAUGCACACUCUUAUUCUCCAUCAUUGUCUAUAUUGGUUUCGGUGAUACCUGGCGUCAGCUGCAAUACCCUUGGCUGCUUUCCUGAUUACAUCACAAUUUGACCUGAGGGACGCGAUCUUGCACUCUACAGGUGGAAAGCAUCAACUGUCAUGAACCACAUCCAAGGAUGUACACUUGGUAUGAUGCAAUAUGAAUGGCACUUUCCCUCUGUAGCCUUCUUUCCAAAAACCUAUUAGCUCCAGUCUUAUCAUGAGAGAAACAUGAAACUGACAGUGGGGGAAUCUUACAAGAUGCCUAACAAGUACUCACUCCUGGAAACUAUCAAGGUCAUCAAAACAGGGAAAGUCGGAAAAACUGCCAUAACCUAGAAGAGCCUAAGGUGAUAUGACAACGAAAUGUAAAAAUGUGGUAUCCUGAAUGGAAUUCUGGCUCAGAAAAAGGACAGUAGGUAAAAACUGAGGAAAUCUAAAUAAACCCUGGACUUUAGUAACAAUG